CAGCCGCCGCGGUAAUACGUAGGGUGCGAGCGUUAAUCGGAAUUACUGGGCGUAAAGCGUGCGCAGGCGGUUUUGUAAGACAGGCGUGAAAUCCCCGGGCUCAACCUGGGAACUGCGCUUGUGACUGCAAGGCUAGAGUAUGGCAGAGGGGGGUGGAAUUCCACGUGUAGCAGUGAAAUGCGUAGAGAUGUAGAGGAACACCAAUGGCGAAGGCAGCCCCCUGGGCCAAUACUGACGCUCAUGCACGAAAGCGUGGGUAGCAAACGGGAUUAGAUACCCUGGUAGUCCACGCCCUAAACGAUGCUCACUAGGUGUUGGGGAAUCGAUUCCUUGGUACCGUAGCUAACGCGUGAAGUGAGCCGCCUGGGGAGUACGGCCGCAAGGUUAAAACUCAAAGGAAUUGACGG
rnacentral:rRNA from 1 species